rnacentral:lncRNA from 1 species
AAAAGUAUCUAGUGGAGAUCCAACAUUUUCUUGUGUUAACAAGUUGGCAGAAACGUAGGCAAAGUACUGAACCUCGAAACAAAUCUGUUACGAUAUAUUUUAUCUAUAUUAAGAUGUUACGAUAUAUUAGGAUAUUGUGUAUUAUUACCUUAUAUAGAGUACUAUCAUUGCCUUCUAUAGAGUAGGAUUAUAUAUUAUGUAAUCCUAGUUAUACUUUUACUAUAGUAGUCAUUGUUACUAUAGUAAGACAAUCUCUUGUACUAUAUAUAUUCAUUAAUACAACUCAAGAGGGUAUGCACUUUAGCCCUUCUUUCAUGGUAUCAGAGCGGAAACCCUAAUGUGGGGAUAUCGAUCCAUAGCCACCAUCCACCAUAAAUCUCACCUUUUUCUAUAGGUGUCUUUUCUUUUGGUUUUCUAUCUUUCCAAUACUGCUACAGUACUAU